rnacentral:rRNA from 1 species
AGAGUUUGAUCCUGGCUCAGAGCGAACGCUGGCGGCAGGCUUAACACAUGCAAGUCGAACGGGCGUAGCAAUACGUCAGUGGCAGACGGGUGAGUAACGCGUGGGAACGUACCUUUUGGUUCGGAACAACACAGGGAAACUUGUGCUAAUACCGGUUAAGCCCUUACGGGGAAAGAUUUAUCGCCGAAAGAUCGGCCCGCGUCUGAUUAGCUAGUUGGUGAGGUAACGGCUCACCAAGGCGACGAUCAGUAGCUGGUCUGAGAGGAUGAUCGGCCACAUUGGGACUGAGACACGGCCCAAACUCCUACGGGAGGCAGCAGUGGGGAAUAUUGGACAAUGGGCGCAAGCCUGAUCCAGCCAUGCCGCGUGAGUGAUGAAGGCCCUAGGGUUGUAAAGCUCUUUUGUGCGGGAAGAUAAUGACGGUACCGCAAGAAUAAGCCCCGGCUAACUUCGUGCCAGCAGCCGCGGUAAUACGAAGGGGGCUAGCGUUGCUCGGAAUCACUGGGCGUAAAGGGUGCGUAGGCGGGUCUUUAAGUCAGAGGUGAAAUCCUGGAGCUCAACUCCAGAACUGCCUUUGAUACUGAGGAUCUUGAGUUCGGGAGAGGUGAGUGGAACUGCGAGUGUAGAGGUGAAAUUCGUAGAUAUUCGCAAGAACACCAGUGGCGAAGGCGGCUCACUGGCCCGAUACUGACGCUGAGGCACGAAAGCGUGGGGAGCAAACAGGAUUAGAUACCCUGGUAGUC